GAGACGCUGUCCUGGGAACUGUCCAAUCAGGCAUACAGCUGGAGCGAACAGGGCGGCUUCCGGGAUUUGGCGGGGCCUUUGUCUCUAACUGAAGCGGGAGCUUCAGGUCUUGUCCUCACUGCUUUGUGUCUUCUGGUUUUAGGGGCGCACCCUCUGUGGCCCUGUGACCUGCCCCCUGGAAGCCUAGAAAUGGGACUGUUGACAUUUAGGGAUGUGGCCAUAGAAUUCUCUCUGGAGGAGUGGCAGUGCCUGGACACUGCACAGAAGAAUUUAUAUAGGAAUGUGAUGUUAGAGAACUACAGAAACCUGGCUUUCCUGGGUGUUGCUGUCUCUAAGCCAGACCUCAUCAUCUGUCUGGAGAAAGACAAAGAGCCCUGGAAUAUGAAGCGCCAUGAGAUGGUGGAUGAACCCCCAGGUAUAUGUCCUCAUUUUGCUCAAGACAUUUGGCCAGAGCAGGGCAUGGAAGAUUCUUUUCAAAAAGUAAUACUAAGAAGAUUUGAAAAAUGUGGACAUGAGAACUUACAGUUAAGAAAAGGUUGUAAAAGUGUGGAUGAGUGUAAGGUACACAAAGAAGGCUAUAAUGUACUUAACCAGUGUUUCACAACUACCCAGGGCAAAGUAUCUCAAUGUGGUAAAUAUAUGAAAGUCUUUUAUACAUUUAUAAAUUUAAACAGAUAUAAGAUAAGACAUACUAGAAAGAAACCUUUCAAAUGUAAAAAUUGUGUCAAAUCAUUUUGCAUGCUUUCACACAAAACCCACCAUAAAAGCAUUUAUACUACAGAGAAGCCAUACAAAUGUAAAGAAUGUGGAAAAACCUUUAAUUGGUCCUCAACCCUUACUAAUCAUAAGAAGCCUCAUACUGAAGAAAAGCCCUACAAAUGUGAAGAAUAUGGCAGAGCUUUUAAUCGAUCCUCAAAUUAUGCUACACAUAAGAUAACUCAUACUGCAGAGAAACCUUACAAGUGUGAAGAAUGUGGCAAAGCAUUUAGCCAAUCCUCCACACUAACCAUACAUAAGAGGAUACACACUGGAGAGAAACCCUGCAAAUGUGAAGAAUGUGGUAAAGCAUUUAGCCAACCCUCAGCCCUAACCAUACAUAAGAGGAUGCACAUUGGAGAGAAACCCUACAAAUGUGAAGAAUGUGGCAAAGCAUUUGUAUGGUCCUCAACCCUAACUAGACAUAAGAGGCUGCACACGGGAGAGAAACCCUACAAAUGUGAAGAAUGUGCCAAAGCUUUUAGACAGUUCGGACACCUUACUACACAUAGGAUAAUUCAUACUGGAGAGAAACCCUACAAAUGUGAAGAAUGUGGUAAGGCAUUUAUAUGGCCCUCAACCCUAAGUAAACAUAAAAGGAUUCACACUGGAGAGAAACCCUUCAAAUGUGAAGAAUGUGGCAAAGCUUUUCAUCGAUCCUCAAAUCUUACUAAACAUAAGAUAAUUCAUACUGGAGAGAAGCCUUACAAGUGUGAAGAAUGUGGCAAAGCAUUUAUAUGGUCCUCAAACCUUACUGAACAUAAGAAAAUUCAUACUAGAGAGAAACCCUACAAAUGUGAAGAAUGUGGUAAAGCAUUUAGCCGAUCCUCAGCCCUAACUACACAUAAGAGAAUGCACACUGGAGAGAAACCCUACACAUGUGAAGAAUGUGGCAAAGCUUUUAGCCAAUCCUCAACCCUUACUGCACAUAAGAUAAUUCAUACUGGAGAGAAACCCUACAAAUGUGAAGAAUGUGGCAAAGCUUUUAUAUUGUCCUCAACCCUAUCUAAACAUAAGAGGAUUCACACUGGAGAGAAACCCUACAAAUGUGAAGAAUGUGGCAAAGCUUUUAGUCAAUCCUCAAAUCUUAGUACACAUAAGAUAAUUCAUACCGGAGAGAAACCUUACAAGUGUGAAGAAUGUGGCAAAGCGUUUAAUCGAUCCUCAAAUCUUGCUACGCAUAAGAUAAUUCAUACUGGAGAGAAACCUUACAAGUGUGACGAAUGUGGUAAAUCAUUUAUCUGGUCCUCAACCCUUUUUAAGCAUAAGAGAAUUCAUACUUGAGAGAAACCUUAAAAAGGGUAAAGCAUGUGGGAAAGCAUUUAUAAGUUUCUCAACCCUUACUGAACAUGAGAUAAUUCAUACUAGAGAGAAACCUUACAAAUGUGAAGAAUGUGGCAAAGCAUGUAUAUGGUCCUCAACGCUAAACAUAAGAGGAUGCACACUGGAGAGAAACCCUACAAAUGUGAAGAAUGUGAAAAAGCUUUUAAUCCUCAAAUCUUACUAAACAUUAGAUAAUUCACACUGGAGAGGAACCUUACAAGUGUGAAGAAUGUGGGAAAGCUUUUAAUCGAUUCUCAAAUCUUACUACACAUAAGAUAAUUCAUACUGCAAAUAACCCCUACGAAUGUGAAGAAUGUGGCAAAGCAUAUGAUCCUCACCCCUAAGUAGACGUAAGAGGAUGCACACUGGAGAGAAACCUUACAAAUGUGAAAAAUGUGGCAAAGCCUUUAAAUGUUCCUCAACUCUUACUAAACAUAAUUCAUACUGAAGAGAAACCUUAAAAAUGUGAAAAAUGUGGCAAAGCCUUUAAGCAGUCUUCAAUCCUGAGUAACCAUAAGAGAAUUCAAACUGGAGAGAAACCCUGCAAAUCUGAAGAAAUGUGGGAAAUCUUUUAACCUGUCUUCAACCUUUAUUAAACAUAAGAUAAUUUCAUACUGGAGUAAAACCCUACAAAUGUGAAGAAUGUGGCAAAGUGUUUUUCUAGUCCUCAGCCCUAACUAAACAUAAAAAAAUUCAUGCUGGACAGCAACCCUACAAAUGGGAAAAAAUUGGCAAAGCCUUUAACCAGUCCUUACAUCUCACUACAGAUAAGAUAACUCAUAUUGGAGAGAAAUCUUACAAGUGUGAAUAAUAUGGAAAGCCUAAAAAAGUCCUCAAUUCUUAACAGAUAUAAGAUUAUUCAUACUGAAGACAAACUGCAGAUCUGAAAGAUGUGCCAAUGCUUUUGACAGCACCUCAAACUUUUCUAAACAAAGAAAAUCAUGCUCCUGACAAAUCCUAGAAAUGUGAAGAAUGUGACAAAGACUUUAAAUGAUUGUCAACAAUUGAUUGUGGGUAAGAUAAUUCAUACUGGAAAAAACUACCACUGUGAACAAUGUGGCCAAGCUUCUAACCAAUGCUUACAGCUUAUUGCACCAGAAAGCGUUUAUAUUUGAAAACAAAUGUACAAAUAUAGACAAAGUAAAAAAACCAUUAAUACCUGCUCACAUCUUACUCAAAAUCAAAGAGUUCAUACUAAAUAAAAGCAUUAAAAGUCUAAUUACCAUCAAAAGAUAAGAACGUAUGUCUUUAAAGUGCAGAAGAGUAUUUAUUUUGAAAAAGCAUUACAAAUAUGAAGAGGGUUGUAAUACCUUUACUUGUAUCACAGAGCUUAUUGUACACAUUUUGUACUACAGGAAAACCCUGAGGGAGUUAUUAAAAUUUUGUUCAGUAUCAGGGAGUUUAUAUUGAAGAAAACCCUACAAAUAUGCUGAAUUUGGAAAAACAUUUUUUCAAAAACUACAAAUUAUAAAACACCAAAGAGUUCAUACUAAAAUAUAUUUUUGCAGAUGCAUUAAAUAUGAAAGAUGUUCAAUCCAAAAUUAAGUCUAUGUAAAUAUCAGGGAAUAAUUCACGGUAGAAAUAUCUAGGGCACUCAAACUUUAGACAUUACACUAAAUCAGAGUGCUGAGUGUAGGAAAUAAUACAAACUAAAGUUUGUGUAAGCAUUAAUUGUGUAUAACUUUAAAAGAAGUAGAAUUUUUUUGGAGAGUUAUAAUUACAUUCAAAGUAUACUUUUUUUUUGAAAAUACAGAAUUUUUUAAAAGCGAAUAAUAAUGGAGUUAAACUCUUAAAUUACUUCAUGCUGUUUCACCAUUCCUAGUGUAUUCACAUGUGAAAACGUGACUAAUUGUUGCUGCAUAAAAGAUAUGAGAGAUUCUUUUUUAUUAGGUAGGUAUUAUUUGUGACCUUUUCUAUGGAAAGGUAAGGACCUUAAAAUGUAAGAUACAUGAUGAAAAUUUAAGUAAAGAGGCUCUUUGGGUUAACAUAAUAUUGAGUUAUGCAUGAGGUAGGUGUUCAGAGUAAUAUUUUUCUGCAUCAUUAUGAAAGAAAAGCUUUCUUAUUUAGUUAACAUUAAGUUAGUAAUAUUGUACUUUUAUGGAAUAAUAUACAUUAUAUUUUAAAAUUAUAAAUUAUGUGUGAACUUUUUAAUUCAGCAUUUUUAACAUGUUAAAUACUAUCAUGAAUUCAUUGAAGCAUUAUGCCACUAACUUUAACCUAUUCCACCUUAUUCAGUGGUGUAGGUAAAAGAUGGUAACAAUACACUAUUUGGUAAGAUAAUGGACUGAGAUCUCUAGUAAUCUUUUUGCCAGUGGCUUUAAAUUGCCAAUAAGUUAAAAAAUAUUGUUCCUAUAGGUUAAAUUUUAUUCUUAUUUUUACAUUCAAAUUUAUUUUUCU